rnacentral:rRNA from 1 species
AGAAUGAACGCUGGCGGCAUGCCUAACACAUGCAAGUCGAACGAAGCCUUCGGGCUUAGUGGCGCACGGGUGCGUAACGCGUGGGAAUCUGCCCUUGGGUUCGGAAUAACAGUUGGAAACGACUGCUAAUACCGGAUGAUGACGUAAGUCCAAAGAUUUAUCGCCCAGGGAUGAGCCCGCGUAGGAUUAGCUAGUUGGUGAGGUAAAGGCUCACCAAGGCGACGAUCCUUAGCUGGUCUGAGAGGAUGAUCAGCCACACUGGGACUGAGACACGGCCCAGACUCCUACGGGAGGCAGCAGUGGGGAAUAUUGGACAAUGGGCGAAAGCCUGAUCCAGCAAUGCCGCGUGAGUGAUGAAGGCCUUAGGGUUGUAAAGCUCUUUACCCGGGAUGAUAAUGACAGUACCGGGAGAAUAAGCUCCGGCUAACUCCGCGCCAGCAGCCGC